UACCCAGACUCCUACGGGAGGCAGCAGUGGGGGAUAUUGCACAAUGGGGGGAACCCUGAUGCAGCGACGCCGCGUGGGUGAAGAAGAAUUUCGGUAUGUAAAGCCCAAUCGGCAGGGAAGAAUUUAGACGGUACCUGACUAAGAAGCCCCGGCUAACUACGUGCCAGCAGCCGCGGUAAUACGUAGGGGGCAAGCGUUAUCCGGAUUCACUGGGUGUAAAGGGAGCGUAGACGGCCAUGCAAGCCUGGAGUGAAAGCCCGGGGCCCAACCCCGGGACUGCUCUGGGAACUGUGCGGCUGGAGUGCGGGAGGGGCAGGCGGAAUUCCUGGUGUAGCGGUGAAAUGUGUAGAUAUCAGGAGGAACACCGGUGGCGAAGGCGGCUUACUGGACGAUGACUGACGCUGAGGCUCGAAAGCGUGGGGAGCAAACAGGAUUAGAUACCCGAAGGA
rnacentral:rRNA from 1 species